CCAAAUACACGUAAUACUCUCUUCAAAAAAAAAAAAAGGAACCAACAGUUGAUCUUCUCUCUUCUCCCUCUCCUCCACCAUCACUAACACCAUCCUAAUUCCCACUACCGCCAUAGCCUGCAAGGUUUCACCCAACCCAUCAGAAAUCAGCCCGUGAAACCGGGGAAGUCAGAGAACAGUUCGAUUUUGUGUGUAAACUGAAAACUUCUUGAAUGCAAGAGGUCGAAGAUUGAAAUGGGGGGAGGUUUCAAAUUUCAAAUUUCUUCUCCUUUUAUCAUUUUUUUAUUUUGAGGUUUAAAAUCCGGACUUUAGAGUCCGAAUUUGCGCCUAUAAAGGGGUGUUCUUCAACCCCAGAGAGGACAAGGAAGAGAGCAGGGAAUUUUUGUUAAUAUAAUUUUAUUGAAGGGAAGAAAGGCUAAGGUUUACAAAAUAAUCUGAAAAGCAUGAAAAUAACUAAAACAAGAGUAGGCUAUAUAUACAUAGCCAAUAACCUAAAGGUCCAUAAACUAAAGGCCCAAUAACAUAUGGGCUAACAUCCCCCCUCAAACUCACAAUGCAACAGCAAUAAGCAUUGAGAGUUUGUCACACAAAAAACGAAAUCGAGACGCCGACUGAGCCUUCGUAAAAAGGUCAGCAAUCUGCAAAGACGAUGGAACAAAAGGAAGCGAUAUGGUCCCGAGCUGUAAAUGAUGACGGGUGAAGUGACAAUCAAUCUCAAUGUGCUUCGUACGCUCAUGGAAGACAGAAUUCUUUGCAAUUUGUACCGCACUUUUGUUAUCACAAUGCAGGGGAGUAGGCAUAGAAAUGUGAACCCCCAUAUCUGCAAGAAGCCAACGUAACCAAAUAAUCUCACAUGUAGUCACAGCCAUAGCACGAUACUCAGCCUCCGUGGAAGAUCUAGAGACAACAUCUUGUUUCUUGCUCUUCCACGAGAUUAAAGAGUCUCCAAGAAACACACAAAAACCAGUGGUGGAUUUACGAUCAUUGCGAUCUCCAUCCCAAUCAGCAUCACUAUAGGCUCGCAACUCGAGAGAUGACGUCGAGGGAAACAAGAGAUUCUGAAACUGAGUGCCACGAAGAUACCUUAGAAUACGAAGUACAGCUCCCCAGUGCACAGAAGUAGGAGCAGUAACAAACUGGCUAACAACAUGAACUGCAUGUGCUAUAUCUGGACGAGUAACCGUAAGAUAAACCAAACUACCCACAAUAGUCCGAUAAAGACUCGGAUCUGAUAAUGGAACACCAUCACUAGGAGAGUAACGUGCAUUGGUUUCAAGGGGAGUAUCUACAGUCCUGUUGUCAGAAAGACGCGCCCGUGUAAACAAGUCAGAUAUAUACUUAGUCUGAGAAAGAAGAUACCCUUUCUUAGACUGAGCCACCUCAAUACCCAGAAAAUAACGCAGCAAGCCCAAGUCCUUCAUUGCAAAUCGAUGAGCCAAAUCAUGCUUCAAUAACUCAAUACCACUAUGAUCAUCACCAGUAAUAAUCAUAUCAUCUACAUAUAAGGACAAUAGAAUUCGCCCUGCACUUGUACAUCUAACAAACAAUGCUGAAUCAUGGUUACUCGGGACAAAUCCAAGGGAAGUAAUAACAGUGGAGAAUUUCUCAAACCAAGCACGAGGGGCUUGUUUGAGACCAUAUAAAGCUUUUCGAAGCCGACAAACUUCACCUGGCUGGUGGUCAAUACCUGGGGGAGGAGUCAUAUAAACUUCCGCGUGGAGAUCACCAUUCAGAAAAGCAUUCUUGACAUCCAUCUGAAAUAUCUUCCACUGUCGAACGGAUGCAACAGCAAUCAUAGUGCGAACAGUCGUCAUCUUUGCUACGGGGGAAAAAGUCUCCUCAUAAUCCAUACCAUAUUGUUGUGAAUACCCUUUUGCCACAAGUCUUGCCUUGUAUCGCUCAACAGACCCAUCAGAUUUUGUUUUUAUCUUAUACACCCAUCGACAACCAAUCGCAUGCUUACCAGGUGGGAGAGUAACCAAAUCCCAUGUAUGUGUAUGAUGAAGAGCAGCAAGUUCCUCAGCCAUAGCAUUCUGCCAAAGAGGAUCAGACACAGCCUCUCUAUACGACUCAGGUUCAGACAAAUGAUGUAUGUUUGCAAUAAAGGAAGCAAAUGAGGCUGAAUAUGUAGAAUAGUAAAAAUCUGGCAGUUUGGUGGACUUACAAGGUCGAGUAGACCUCCUCAGAGGUGGUGGGUCUCCAGUCUCAACAGUCGAAGGAGCAGACUCAGGCACAGGCGAGGCUGAAGCACUAUCAGGUGGCACACCAGAUGGCAUGGAUGAAUCCGGAACUGGAACCUCUAUGUCAAUCCCAAAGGGAUCAAUAAGCCGAAUAUCUGACUUUGUCACAUCAUGGGUUUUAGCUGGAAUGGAAUAAAAAGGAAUAUGUUCCAAAAAAGUGACAUGUCGUGAAACAUAUAAUUUCUGACUUACAGGAUCAUAGCAACGAUAUCCUUUUUGUCCAAUACCAUACCCCAAAAACACACAUAUAGCUGAUUUUGACCCUAACUUAUUUCGUUCAACAUGAGGACGAAGAACAAAGCAAGUACAUCCAAAAACUCGUAAUGCAGAAUAAUUCGGCGGGUGACCAUAUAGUUUCUCAAACGGAGACAUCCCUGAAGUCAAUGCAGUAGGAAUACGAUUAAUCACAUAUACAGCAGUUAGAACUGCUUCUCCCCAAAAAAUACUAGGAACCUCUGCAGACAAAAGUAAAGAGCGUGCUGUCUCAACAAUAUGACGAUGUUUUCUUUCUGCCAGACCGUUCUGCUCAGGAGUGUCGGUACAAGAUGACUGGUGUAUGGUACCAUCAGAGGCAAGUAACUGAGUGAAGUCAUUAGAGGUAUAUUCACCCCCUAAGUCACACCUGAAACACUUUAUCACAGCCGAAUGUUGUGUUUUAACAAGGGCUCUAAAGUUGUUGUAAAUGCCAAAGAAAUCAGAUCUGCGUUUCAUAAGAUACACCCAGGUAUAACGAGUAUAGUCAUCUAUAAACGAAACAUAAUAGGUCGAUCCACCCUUAGUGGAUACUGGCGCUGGUCCCCAUACAUCAGAAUGAAUAAUAUCAAAAGGAGCAACAGAAUAAGACACACUUUUAUUAAACGGUAAGGCAGAAAAUUUUGCCAGUUUACAACCACUACAAUCUGAAAUAUCACUAGUGUUCACAUGACCCAAAGCACCACUAGAGACCAAAAAACGUAAACGUGAAACUGACACAUGUCCUAAUCUGGAAUGCCAAAGAUAAAACUGAGAAGACAAAGGACUCAAACGAAAAGAAGAUAAAUCUAUGCUAGAGGCAGCAACUACAGACACUUUGAGAUUCUCCAAGACAUAGAGUUCCCCCAACCUACGGCCGGUCCCAAUCACCCUCUGAGUGUGUUGGUCCUGUAUAACACAAACAGAAUCAGAAAAAAACACCCAAUUACCAGCCUUACACAACUGACUGACCGAAACAAGAUUUAAAGCAAGUUUGGGAAUGUAAUAAACAUCAGAGAGGACAAUGUGAGGGGUAGUAACAGAACCAACACCCUCGACUGACAUAGGUACAGCACUCGCGGACAUAACAGAGAUUGGUGAAAUGGGUGACAAAGAACCAAACGAUGACAAAUGAGGGGACAUGUGAUGAGACGCACCAGAAUCCAAUAUCCACAAGGAGGAAGGAAUACCUGAGGUACUAGAAGAAACUGAACCCGAAUGAGACAUAGAUGCUGACAUGGCCGUAGGAUUAGAAACGAAGAACUGUCUGAACUGUUCGAAAACCUGGGGAUCCAACGCAGAAGGUGGCAUAGUGCUAACAGACUCAACAUCUACAGAUGGUGCAGCAGCAGCGAACUGUGGAGGACGAGAUGACCACGGAGGAGCACCAGAUGGGCGUGACGGAUACUUUUGCUGCCCAUAUUUCUGUUGCUGCCCAGAUUGAGGCUGUUUGACCUUGUUAAGUAACAACGGACACUGAGCCUUCCAAUGAUUUUUCUGUUUGCAGAAUGCACACUCAUCAAAUGCAACUUUAGGAGAUUGUCGAGUCUGAGUACGUGGUGGCCUAGACUGAUCAGUUGAAGCAGCAAACACGACAGGAGUAGUAGUUACUUUAGACCCUUUAUCCACUUGAGACUUGAUACGAGUCUCCUCUGCAAUCAGUUCAUGAACCACAGAAUCAACAGUAGGGAGGGGAGAUCGAUGAAGGAUUGUUCCACGUAGGCCCUCAAAGUCAGAACGUAGUGCCAUCAAAAACUGAACCAAGCGUUGCUCUUCCCGUCUAGCAAUGUACGGCCCAAAACCUUUUAACUCUGCAGAUUCAGUAAGUGCCAAUUGAUCCCACAAAUCCGACAUGGCAGCAUAAAAAUCUUGAAUACUGAGAUCAUGCUGUUGAAGAGCACGGAUAUCAUACUCCAACUGGUACUGCUUAGCAAAAUUAGACUGAGUGUACAGUCUUUCCAAAUGAUCCCAGACCUCCUUUGCUGUGUCAUACUUAGCCAAUUGCAUACCAAUUGACUGAGUUACAGAAUUGUUGAUCCAAGUGAUAAUCUUGGAGUUAUUAGUUUCCCAUAAGUCCACCAACAAAUCAAAAUUUUCAGUUUUAUCAUCGAUAGGUCUUGGUUUUACUCCAGUGAUAUAACCCCACAUAUUCUUCCCACGAAGAAAAUUCUUCAUGACAUAACUCCAAUAUGCAUAGUUCUUACCAUCUAAUUGAGUACUAAUGGACUGGAGAGAAUCAUCCUUUCCAGUCAUUGUAAACACAGCAACACACAAACAAUUCAAAAAACAAAAAGAUGCAAAACCCUAGGUUGAACAAUUCCGAACGAACAACAAUGGCAGCAAGCAAAAGAACGAAAGACGAACAAUACCAGACAGCAAACGAAGACAGCAACGAAUCAAUCCAACCAAAAAACCCAACGAAAAGAGCAAACGAAUACAGCAGCACCUCAAAAAAAUCAAAGGACAUGGAUCGAACUAGCUUUGAUACCAUGUUAAUAGAACUUUAUUGAAAGGAAGAAAGGCUAAGGUUUACAAUAUAAUCUGAAAAGCAUAAAACUAACUAAAACAAGAGUAGGCUAUAUAUACAUAGCCAAUAACCUAAAGGUCCAUAAACUAAAGGCCCAAUAACAUAUGGGCUAACAUCCCCCCUCAAACUCACAAUGCAACAGCAAUAAGCAUUGAGAGUUUGUCACACAAAAAACGAAAUCGAGAUGCCGACUGAGCCUUCGUAAAAAGGUCAGCAAUCUGCAAAGACGAUGGAACAAAAGGAAGCGAUAUGGUCCCGAGCUGUAAAUGAUGACGGGUGAAGUGACAAUCAAUCUCAAUGUGCUUCGUACGCUCAUGGAAGACAGAAUUCUUUGCAAUUUGUACCGCACUUUUGUUAUCACAAUGCAGGGGAGUAGGCAUAGAAAUGUGAACCCCCAUAUCUGCAAGAAGCCAACGUAACCAAAUAAUCUCACAUGUAGUCACAGCCAUAGCACGAUACUCAGCCUCCGUGGAAGAUCUAGAGACAACAUCUUGUUUCUGGAGUUCGAUCCGCGCAGUAGGUGCCUGCUACAAAAUCUUCAACCAACAAAUCAAAGGACAUGGAUCGAACUAACUUUGAUACCAUGUUAAUAGAAUUUUAUUGAAGGGAAGAAAGGCUAAGGUUUACAAUAUAAUCUGAAAAGCAUGAAAAUAACUAAAACAAGAGUAGGCUAUAUAUACAUAGCCAAUAACCUAAAGGUCCAUAAACUAAAGGCCCAAUAACAUAUGGGCUAACAAUUUUUUUUUUAAAAAAAGAACAAACAAGUCGAGAAACAGUGAACAGUGAAACAAGGGGUCGAAAAUUGGGGAUUUUGGGGGGUUUUCAAAAAAUCGGGGAAAAAGGGGAGUCGAAGGUCAAGAAAUCAAGUGAAAAGGCUUCAACAAGUCGAAAAGCUCCGAGCAGGUUCUAAAAGGUCCCAAAGUUGAGUUGUCACCGAAAAACUCUUGGACGUUGGAGCCUCAGUUUCGCUGCCCCACACAAGAUAAAUUUUAUCCCUUCUAAUUACGUUAUAUUUAAUUUUGGUGGUUUGCCAAUCGUUUUGAGUUCGCCAUUCUCGUUUCCCCAAUUAUGAAUGUAAAUAUAAAAUAAAAUGAUGUCUGGUCAUUCGAUUUCGUCUACAUUGUAUGAGUUGUUUAUGAAAUAUUGUUUUUUGUAAUCGGGUUCGAAUAAAAAUCAAUAGAUUUUUGAUGAUUCCAAUUGAGCGGGCUGUUUUGUUUUAUUAGUCAGGAAUG
rnacentral:lncRNA from 1 species